GCUAAGGACUGUGUAACAACUCACCUGCCGAAUGAAUUAGCCCCGAAAAUUUUGAUGGCUCUCCAGCGUGCGACCGAUACUCAAACAUUGCAACGAAAGUCUGAUUGCAAUGAGUAGGAGGGCGUAGGCGUCUUGUCGAAGCUUUGAGCGUGAGCCUGAGUAGAAAGGCGUCUAGUGCAGAUCUUGGUGGUAGUAGCAAAUACUCAAAUGAGAACUUUGAGGACUGAAGUGGGGAAAGGUUCCAUGUGAACAGCAGUUGGACACGGGUUAGUCGAUCCUAAGCCAUAGGGAAACUCCGUUUUAAAGUGCGCACUUGUGCGUCGCCCGGCGAAAGGGAAGCCGGUUAACAUUCCGGCACCUGGAUGUGGAUUCUCCACGGCAACGUAACUGAAAGCGAAGACGACGGCGGGGGCCCUGGGAAGAGUUCUCUUUUCUUCUUAACGGCCCGUCACCCUGAAAUCGGUUUGUCCGGAGCUAGGGUUUAAUGGCCGGUAGAGUCCCACACCUUUGUGGGAUCCGGUGCGCCCCCGACGUCCCUUGAAAAUUCGCUGGAAGGAAUAGUUUUCACGCCAGGUCGUACUCAUAACCGCAGCAGGUCUCCAAGGUGAACAGCCUCUGGUCGAUGGAACAAUGUAGGCAAGGGAAGUCGGCAAAAUGGAUCCGUAACUUCGGGAUAAGGAUUGGCUCUGAGGAUAAUUUUCGUGUGGGGUGGUUCCGGCGAUGACGGCCGAGCCAGUUGUGGUCUGCUUGCUUCGGCCUGCGGAUCGCUUCUCAGCGAAGCCUGAUUCUGUUCGGACCGCCACUCUGCACAUGUUUAUGGCAACAUAAUCACAAAUCAACUCUGAACUGGAGCAGACUAGGGGAAUCCGACUGUUUAAUUAAAACAAAGUGUUGUGAUGGCCUCAGCAGGUGUUGACACAACUUGAUUUCUGCCCAGUGCUCUGAAUGUCAAACUGGAGAUAAUAUGAGAAGCACAAAUUCAAGCAAGCGCGGGUAAACGGCGGGAGUAACUAUGAC
rnacentral:rRNA from 1 species